rnacentral:rRNA from 1 species
UACAGGGGGUGCAAACGUUGCUCGGAAUCAUUGGGCGUAAAGCGCACGUAGGCGGUUCGUUAUGUCGGAUGUGAAAGCCCUUGGCUUAACCGAGGAAGUGCAUCCGAAACUGGCGAGCUAGAGUACGAAAGAGGAUCGCGGAAUUCCCGGUGUAGAGGUGAAAUGCGUAGAUAUGCGGAGGAACACCGAUGGCGAAGGCAAUCCCCCUGGGCCUGCACUGACGCUCAUGCACGAAAGCGUGGGGAGCAAACAGG